rnacentral:misc_RNA from 1 species
GCAAAGAAAAUUUCACAGCAGAUGACUUCUUCUUCGAUGGGUUGGCCAAACCAGGACUCACCAACAACACCCUAGGCUCCCUGGUCACCGGAGCCAAUGUUGAGAAAAUCCCAGGCCUAAACACCCUUGGAGUCUCCUUGUCCCGCAUUGACUACGCCCCCGGUGGCCUUAAUCCUCCCCACACUCACCCACGAGCCACUGAGAUAAUCUUUGUCCUCGAAGGCCAGCUCGACGUGGGCUUCAUCACCACCGCUAACGUCUUGGUCUCAAAGACCAUCAACAAGGGUGAGAUAUUCGUUUUCCCAAGAGGGUUGGUGCAUUUCCAGAAGAACAAUGGCAAGGUUCCAGCCGCCGUGAUCGCUGCCUUCAACAGCCAGCUUCCGGGCACUCAAUCCAUCGCCGCCACAUUGUUUGCCGCCACACCUCCGGUUCCUGACCACGUGUUGACCAAGGCUUUCCAGGUGGGGACCAAGGAGGUUGAGAAAAUCAAGUCUAGGUUGGCACCCAAGAAGUAAUUGAAAGAGGGUGGGUGUUGGGCCUUGUCUGUUGCUAGUGUUACCACUGAAACAAUUUAUGGGAUUUGUUCUUCAUAAUAUUUAGAACUUAUUUCUUUAGUCUUUCAAAAAUGAGAAUCCUUAAUUAUUUUUCUUAUUUAGCAAAGAAAUAAAAAGAUCAACAGAGAUUUUUGAAUAUAAGAUAAGAGAAUAUUGCAUCCAAUUAACUCCAUUCUUAUAGUUUUUGAUGUCGUAUGAAACCAUAAAAAUAUGACUAGGAAGUGUGUAGAGGUUGGUGAGUUUUUAAUCCCUUCACCUAAAUUCAGAAACCGAAAUGAUAGCUAUAUCAUUAGGUGAGUUUUAAAUUUAAUGUAUAAGUACUAUUUACUUCUACAUUUAAUGAAGUUAAUUAUUU